AACGCUAGCUACAGGCUUAACACAUGCAAGUCGAGGGGCAGCAUGAACUUAGCUUGCUAAGUUUGAUGGCGACCGGCGCACGGGUGCGUAACGCGUAUCCAACUUGCCCCCGUCUCGGGGAUAGUCUCGCGAAAGCGAGUUUAAUACCCGGCGUCGCUGGAAAGUCGCAUGUUUUUCCAGCGGAAGGAUUUCCGGACGGGGAUAGGGAUGCGUCCCAUUAGGUAGUAGGCGGGGUAACGGCCCACCUAGCCGUCGAUGGGUAGGGGUUCUGAGAGGAAGGUCCCCCACAUUGGAACUGAGACACGGUCCAAACUCCUACGGGAGGCAGCAGUGAGGAAUAUUGGUCAAUGGGCGAUAGCCUGAACCAGCCAAGUAGCGUGCAGGAUGACGGCCCUAUGGGUUGUAAACUGCUUUUGCAGGAGGAUAAAGUGCCCCACGUGUUGGGGUUUUGCAGGUAUCCUGCGAAUAAGGACCGGCUAAUUCCGUGCCAGCAGCCGCGGUAAUACGGAAGGUCCGGGCGUUAUCCGGAUUUAUUGGGUUUAAAGGGAGCGUAGGCGGGCGUUCAAGUCAGCUGUGAAAAGCUGCCGCUCAACGGCAGUCGUGCAGUUGAAACUGGAUGUCUUGAGUUCGCACGAGGUCAGUGGAAUUUGUGGUGUAGCGGUGAAAUGCUUAGAUAUCACGAAGAACUCCGAUUG
rnacentral:rRNA from 1 species